rnacentral:lncRNA from 1 species
CCCAUGCUCUGGAUUACAGGUUAAAGUUGUCUUGAUUUGAAAAUAAAUAACUUCUCACUUCUGUAUCAAUUGCAAGCCCCCAGGUACCAAUCUGGGCUCCAAGGACACGAUUAUCUGCAGCCAAAAACCACCAGUGUCAGCUCACUUGUUCUGGGGACGGAUUUGAUCCCAUUACUUUUGCUGGGACUGCUGUCUGCUGAUCAAUGCCAAACAUCAACAGGUUUGCCAUGAGGAAUCACUGCCCAACUCAUCCCAGGAUAGAGUUAGUGGGAGAGACUGGGACUGCAAUUGCAUUGCUCUCAUCAUUUGGAGGUUGCAGGACAACGCUGCUAGCUGCAUUGCUAAUACAUCUUGCAAGACCUGCUAUGUGGGAACUGCUGAAUCACGGCCUGAACCUCUGAUUGACCACCUGAGGAGAGCAACCAGUCAGCCCUGGAAGCACAGGUGAAGGCAAUUCAUCUGUGCUACCAGGUAGAAGACUGGCUCCACCUCUCCUAGACCCAUUUAAGAGCUGACUACACUGGGGAAGGAUCUGUUUUGGAGAUCACUCUUCUUGGAGUCUUCUCAGUGAGCCCAGGACAGGGGUAAGCUUUCUAUCCAUUCUUCUUUGCUGUGAUAACCUGUACACCCUAACUUUCUUGUAUAUUUCUUAAUUAUAACAUCUGUAUGUUCACUGAUUAUACACCUGCUCACAGGGCACAGUUUCUCAGGGAACUUGGAGCAUGUUUGCUGGUAUGUGGGCGUUGACAAGAGCCAAGAGAACACCAGUAACAUCUCUUGCAUACUGGGGAGUUGAUCUCAUUCAGUUAUUUUACUCUUUUAUCCUCUCUGGUAAUUCCAAAAACUUCCUGAGAUGCUGAUACUCAGGUGAAAGGAGAGGUCAGCCCUCACCCAAUUGAAUUGCCCUUAACUUGGAUGUUGCAUUUUUCUUCUUUAUUUCUUUUUAUUAUUUUCCUCCAUUGAGCAGCUCUGUUCCAUGCUCAACAGCAGAUAUUCUGAACUCAUGCAUCUCCAAGGAGCUCUGAGCAUCCUGCCCAGCCCCAUGCUAGAGACAUGAGACAUCCUAACCCUUCUAUUCAAGCAAAAGCAGCACCUCAGGUGUGAGAACUGGCUGCUGCAACUCCUCUUUAAGGCACUACUUCUCUCCUUGAUUUUCACUGCAUGCCACUGCUCGCAAUUCAUCAUUAUUUACCAAGACUGGAGCCUCUGGUGAUGACACCAAUGGGAGUUUUUCACCAACUUCCCAGGGCAACUGGUUGUCCAUUAAGGGAUCUGUGAACAACUCAGCCCUGGAGUCAGGCCAACUUUCUCUUCUAAUUUCUCCUCCUAUUCUUCACCCUCACUGCCUGUUUUCCCUUUGGGAGACCUGUUAUGGUUUAUUGUUUCUCUUCCUUUUUUAUUUUUUUCCCCUUUGUUUUUUUUACUGUAUAUAGCAGAGUUUGAUCUGGCAACCAGCCAGGGGACCUGCAAUUGCUUUGUCCUUUGGUGUGCUGGGUUAUUUUGACUUCAGGUUUUUCUAUUGAGAAACUGAUUAAGACCAAAAAAAGAAAAGCCACAUCUUUAAGUGGAAGUGAACCUUUAGGUUAUCUUGGAGGCAAUCUCCUUAGUUCUUUUCUUUCUAGCUCUUCACCUUGACUUUUUUUUCAGUUGUUAGCUCUUUCAUUUCCUUCACAGGUACUUGAGGCGUUUAAAGGAUGCUUCUCCCUUUCCCAGGCAGAUGCCACUUUCAACUCACCAAAUUGUACCCCUAAAAGCAGAGGAAGAACUACAAAGGUUAUAGCACUGUAGUCAUGCUGGCUUGCUGAUAAAGGGAGGAGGUACUGCCUAGAAAAUACCAGCAAAUGGGACUUUCCUCCUAAAGUUUAGCAAGGAACUGGGAGCAGAUGACUUGGAUGUGGACCAGCCCUCAUGGGAGUCAGCAUGGGGAGGUGGGUGAAUAAAGGGGACUUCUCAAACCCCGGGUCUCUCAUCACCUGUUGGUAAUGGAGCCUUCAAAUCCACUAACACCUCAUGGGGAAAGUGAUAGAGCAGCAUGGAGUUGUUCCAUUCUUGAGGUGUGUUAGGAUAACUUCUCAUUUCCAAUGAUUUGGGAAAAGCUACUGGAGAAGCUGCUGCUCCGGCUUUGAUUUGGGCUAAUAGAGAAGAACUGCUUGGGAAAAGAGGAAAAAAAGUAGGGACGUAAUUUCAGGAAAUAAAUCACAAAGCAAUGGAGUGCACAGUGCCAAGAGAAAGGGAGUGAGAACAGCAGAAUGAGGAUAAUGGUCUGCCAAAAAAAAUCUCCGGGAACUGGUAGGUGACAUCUCUAGGGAAGAUAAUCUGAGGGAUGAAGAGAGCAGGGAAGCUGGCAAUAACCUAAAACGACUGUAUUAGGGG